UUGGACUCAAUUUCGUUGUUCAGUUCUCACCCUCAACAAACUCAAGCAAAACUCAACUCUAGCAAAACUCAGGUCCAAUCCGAUCCGAGCAAAACCCAGGUGAGCUUCGGUGGGGAACGAGAGAUAUGGAACAAGACAAAGUGAGAGAGAACCACCAAUCUGAUCCAAUCAACUCCAGGAACUCCGAUCCGAUCCUAGCAACUCCAGCAAAACUUAUGCGAUUCGAUCCGAGCGAAACCCCAGUUGGGUCUUGGGUUUGUUGAUUUCAUUGUUUCUCUUUGGUUGUUGUGUUUGAUCGUUGGAGAAGAAGAGUUUUUGGAGAAGAAGAUUGUUUGAUUGUUUCUCUUUUCUCUUUGGUUGUUGUGUUUCUCUUUCAUUGUUUCUCUUCAUUGUUUUCGUUUUUGAUUGUUUAAAUAGGGAUUUUGGAUAUGAAGGUUUAGUAAAGGGGAAACAAACAUGGGGGAUUGAUGUUAAUUAGCUUUCUUUUACUGACCAGUGUUUGGUUGCUGGGAAACCUGCUCAAUAGAAAAGAAUGUUGGUUUUUUUUUACUUGAUUCCGAUUGAGAAGAUCGCCUCGAUUGAGUUAAAUAGUUGCAUUGAGAGUGAAGUUUAAUCUUUUGCGGGAUAAAGAAGGAGGGGGUUCAAAUCUAAGUUGCUUUUGGAAAAUUUAUGUUUUUUCUUGGUUAAAAAAUUGGGUAUUUAAGGGAUGAAAUGUUUUGAGUUUUUUAAUUACCUUGUUUCAGUGUUGUUUUCAUCUAGAGUUACUUCAUUCAAAUCAAAGAAGUUGUCAAGUAGCCACAAGCCAAAAGCUACAACCAGCAACUACAUCAAAGUAACAAUAGAAAAAAACCUGAACAAACAAGUCAAGUGCAAACCAAAGCCAAAACUCAAAGAACACAACUAGGUGCAAGUUUGCAUGGUACAAUCUAUUUAUAAAAAAAAAAAAAAAAAAAAAAAAAAAAAAAAAAAAAAAUUACAAACAUACUUCACAGCUAACUAGGACUAAUCUACCAACAAGUAAUAAAGAGCUAGCCAAAAUUUUGUGUUUCCAAUCAAAUCCUUAGACUUGAAUACAACAUCAGAAAUACCCCACCUGAUACAUAUUUUGGUGUUGAUACUAGACCUAGGAUAUGGUCCUCUACUUUCAAUCCUUGCCUUCACCUAUUUCCUUAUAAGACUAGCAAUUUGAUCCUCUGUUUUAAUAGUUCCCAAAUUCUUUAUAGCAUUUCUUUGUACUCAUAUGUGGUAUAUACACGCAUUAAAACCCAAUAUGCUGCAGUCAUCACUUAGCCUUUUACCUUUUCCAAUUUGUUGCAGCACAAUUGAUAAGAUUAUGCCAGUCUUCAUCAAGCCUACCUUGAUAAGACCAUUUCCUAAUUUUCCUCCAAAGUCUUCUAGAAAAGGGGCAAUUAAAGAAAAAGGUGAUCUCUACUCCCAGAGCUUCCUUUGCAUAACAAACAUAAAAGAUCAUAUGUUAUUCCCCAACUAGCAAUCAUAUCAUUGGUAGAGAGACUAUCCCUAAUAGCCAGCCAAAUGAUGAAAGCAUGCCUUGGGAUGGCUUUGGUGAACCAUACAAUCUUCCACCAACUAACACUAGGUUUCUUUUUUCUAAUUUGAUCCCAACCACUUGAGAUAGAGAACAAUAUAGACACUAAACUACUUGGACUUGUGCAAUAACUGGUUUUGUUGAAAUAUCUGUAUGAAAUAUGCCCAUGUUAUUUUCUUUGAAUGGUUAUGCAAUUAGUUUUGUAUGCGGCACUUAUUUCAAGAUUUGCCUCCUGUAUGCCUUUGGUUUCAUCUUUUAAAAUAAGGAAUUAUUUCAAGAUUUGGCACCUUCCUUGCAGAAUUCGUUUUGUACUAUUGCUGCACUUAUACAGGAGGACUUGUUGGAACUUUGUCAAUACAAGUUGGCAGCAGAGCUAGUGCUUUCAAAGGAUAAUAAACAACAACAUUUUAAAUUGUUUAAAGUGCUAAAAAAUAGAGCUAUCGGAUUUUUUAAUUACACUAUGUAAUGAUGCAAGAGUUAUCAGUAGAUUAUUGUAUUAGUUUCUUAUAUUAGUUCCCCAAGAAUCAUGUCAAAUCUAUAGCAUUUUUUGUAAACAUUUAAGCACAUAUUGAAGGUUUAUGGGUGGUUUCACCAAAGCUCGUUGAGCUCAAAA